GACGAACGCUGGCGGCGUGCUUAACACAUGCAAGUCGAACGGAAAGGCCCUGCUUUUGUGGGGUGCUCGAGUGGCGAACGGGGGAGUAACACGUGAGUAACCUGACCUUGACUUUGGGAUAACUUCGGGAAACGGGGGCUAAUACCGGAUAGGAGCCCCUGCUGCAUGGAGGGGGUUGGAAAGUUUCGGCGGUUGGGGAUGGACUCGCGGCUUAUCAGCUUGCUGGUGGGGUAGGGGCUUACCAAGGCUUUGACGGGUAGCCGGCCUGGGAGGGUGACCGGCCACAUUGGGACUGAGAUACGGCCCAGACUCCUACGGGAGGCAGCAGUGGGGAAUAUUGCACAAUGGGCGGAAGCCUGAUGCAGCAACGCCGCGUGCGGGAUGACGGCCUUCGGGUUGUAAACCGCUUCCGCCUGUGACGAAGCGUGAGUGACGGUAAUGGGUAAAGAAGCACCGGCUAACUACGUG
rnacentral:rRNA from 1 species